rnacentral:rRNA from 1 species
UAGCUUAUUGAUUUUUAUAAUAAGUAAUUUCUGCCCGGUGAUAUUUUUAACGGCCGCGGUACUCUGACCGUGCAAAGGUAGCAUAAUCAUUUGCCCCUUAAUUAGGGGCUUGUAUGAAGGAAACUUCGAGUUCCUGCCUGUCUCUCAUUAAAAAUUAAAAUUUUCUUUUGUUGUGAGGAAGCAAUAAUGUCAUAAAGGGACAAGAAGACCCUAUCGAGCUUUAUCAUAAUAUAUAGUAUAUGGUUUUUAUUUAUAUAUUUAAAGUUAUUGUAUGAUUUCGUUGGGGCGACGAGAAAAGAGUGAAUCUUUUCUUCUUUUUAAACUUUACCAGUUUAAUUUAAUGACCGGAUUUUUAUCCUUUUUUGAACACAGUUACCGUAGGGAUAACAGCGUAAUCUUGUUUGAGAGUUCUAAUCGAAAAUAGGGUUUGCGACCUCGAUGUUGACUUAUUAUUUCCUGGUUUUAGGUGCAAAAGCUGUUAAGGUUGGUCUGUUCGACCAUUAAAAUAGU